rnacentral:lncRNA from 1 species
CUUAUUUUUAAUAUUUGUCUUAAGGUACUGGGACAUGGCCAGGAGAGCCAGCCCCACAGACUUCCCCAAGCAACAGUCUGAGACCAUUCAUCAGCCCAGCUAUUUUAAUCUGCCUUGGCUGCCAAACAUGGGCAUUAUAGUUUACAAAAUAAUAUGAGACCCAGUGCCUAUUUUCAUGGAAUCCAGUCCAGGUGCCCACAGUGGCUGGGAGCCUCUGGAGUCCACUCUGUAAUCAGAUCCUAGACCACAGGUUUAUUAUCAGCUAUGAGUCUUAGAUUCCUCAUAGGGCAAAGUGGGAAAAACACUGGCAAAUUGAUAGCAUCCAGUGUUAGGGAUUAUCAUGAUAAACUCUUGAAAACAAUGAGGCAGUUAGGAGUAAGUUCCAAGAGACCACUUAGAGACACAUUUUGUUCUAAGACACUGAUAUGUCCAUUCAGUCAUAAUGUCUUUGAGGCAAGACUGAGGGCACAGUAAGGAAAAGUAAAUAGGAGAGCAAAAGGCAGACUGCAGGAGAGGUGAGGCGUGCCCCAUGAAUAGGGUACAGGUAGAAGAAGAGGCAUCACAGGCACGCUGUGGAGAGGGGGCAUAUGUGUCUGCUCUGAGACAUACCUCCUGUGCUGGUGAGCCAGAGGCCUGGAUCCCAGUCUUGCCUCUGACACUUAUUAAUGGGAGCUCAGGGAAGACAUUCAAGUUAUCCAAGCCAAUUUUCCUCGUCCAAAACGGGUUUGUCCACAAACCUUGUAUGGGGCUUAUGAGGAUGAAAGAGAAUGUACAAUCAGUCCUGAACAGACUGUAGCUGUUGUUAUUUUUAUUGGUCUGUGUGGAACACAGUGAGUGGACCAAAUUGCCCACAGCAGCAAGCUAGAGCUGGAUAAAGGUGAUGAAAAGUCCAGAGUGGGAGGCUUUUUACCUCAGGGAUAAAAUUCAGGGAAAAAUGAAGGAAAAGCAACAUGGAGACAGAUGUCUAGAAGAACAUGCCAACAGCAGGUCAGUAUCACAAAAGCCCAAACUUAUUUUUACCAAAACUGUUUUUAUUCAACUAAUGGUUAUACCCAUUUGAGUAUGCCUUAUCCAAAAUCUGAGGUACAGAAAUGUUUCAGAAUUAGGAUUUCUUUUUAUUUUGGAGUAUCUGUAUGUACAUGAGGAAAUAUCUUGGAGAUGGCACCCAUGUCUGAACACAAAAUUCAUUUGUGAUUCACAUACACACAUACACCCAUAGUCUGAAAGUGAUUUUCUAUAAUAUUUUUUAAUGCACUUGUGUUUUGACUGUGACCCAUCACACAAAGUCAGGAGUAGAAUCUUCCACUUUCAGUAUUACAUUGUCUCAAAUCAUUUCAAAUUUUGGAGCAUUUGGAUUUGGGAUAUUCCAAUUAGGGAUAAUGAACCAGUAAAUACCAAUUCUGUGCCUUCUCAGUGCUAGACACUUGAGUCUGGUGAUGAUCAAAGGUGAUACAGCCCCCACUGUCAAAAAGCUAACCUUCUAGUGCCUCCUCUUAUCUGCUGAACCAAGUCUUCAUGCCAGGUACAUUUUUCUCUCCUCCAAAUAAACAACCUAAAAUUCCCUGACUAGUACUCCCCAAGAUUUUGAAAAGGAAGAAUAAUCUAACAGUCUCUCAUGUUGAUUUUAAAAAACAAAAAGUCCUCAACACAUAUUAAUUAGAUUGAAUUUCAAAAAUUCAAAUUAGAGUCCUUCUCAAGUUAAAGAAAGGGAGCAGUGGGGAUGAGCAUUUGAAAACUAUGCUUUCUUUCUCUCUGGUGGCAUUAAAUGAAAAACAACCACUUUUUGUUAUAUUCAUUUGCUACCAAGAAAACUUCUGGAUAUCAACUUUUGAAGUAUGAAGUACAAGGAAUUUAAAUUCUAGUAAUAGAGAGAUCUAUACGAUCUGAAAUUAAGAAAAACAUGACAUUGCAUAGGUGGAAGGAAAAGAGGAAUUCACAUUUUUUGCUCAAGUACAGUUGCAUAUUUAUGUUUCAUCCGCUCAAGUAUUCUUUGAGGAUGCAUCAAUAUUCUGAGUAUAGAGAAACUGAUUCUCAGAAAGAUUUAAAAGAGUGCACUCAAAGUCACACUGCAGAUUAGUGAUGGAGCUGAGCUCAAACUGAGGGUUUCUAACUCACAACCACACAAUCUCCACUAAGUCCUUCUUCCUUAAACUCACUUCUCAGCAAAGAAAACAUUUUGUGAAGAACAAAAACAGUACUUACUGAGUGGCAGUCUUCCUGGUAAAUUCUCAAUUAAGUAACCCCAGGAAAGGAAAGAAAUCAAGGUAUGAAAAGAAUGUGAACUCUGUAGGAAGAGCAGUAAUGAUACUCACUACCUUUCACCAUCUACCAGGCAAGCACACCAUCUAAACUCAACCAGUGAACUUCCAUUACCUCCUCCUCCCAGGAAAUCUGCUUUUCCCCCUGACCACACCAGUGUUCCCAUACAAGUCAUGGAGUGCAUUUGUUCAAAAGCAUAAUCAUAUCCUAUAUUGGGCGUCAUAAUGUUAAAAUCAAAGAAACAAGAUUUCUAAGGCACUUGUAGUAGAGAUUGCUAGUUGCCCACAACAGCCUCCCUUUCUUUUUCCAUCCUAUUAAGUCUUGAUUCUGCUGAAGAGAGCUAUCUCCUAGACUCAGAACCUGCAUUUCCUAACUUCCCUUCAUACCAGAGUUCCCUGGAUGAAACAAUCCCACCUGUAAGUAGAAGCUCCUGGUUAUUCCAGAGAAUCACUUACAUGGAAUAAAAUUAGCCAGCCUACCCUUGUUCCUUCCCACUGUCUGUGCAAAGACUGUGCACAGGGUGGCUGGAGAUAUGCAUCUCUCUAUAUAUAAAAGGUAAAAGGACCUAGACUAGGAAAGAAACAAUAAAAGCAAAAAGGAACCUGGUUGCCUAAGGACACUGUAAAAGUACACAUCAGCUUUGGCCUGAUCCUUCUUAUAAAGUGAAAGAAAAAUAAAUAUCUUCCUUGUUUAAUCUACUGUCCUUUCAC